UACGGAGGAUCCGAGCGUUAUCCGGAUUUAUUGGGUUUAAAGGGUGCGCAGGCGGGAGAUUAAGUCGGCGGUGAAAUUUUGCAGCUCAACUGUAAAAGUGCCUUCGAUACUGGUUUCCUUGAGUGUGGAUGAAGUAGGCGGAAUUUGUGGUGUAGCGGUGAAAUGCAUAGAUAUCACGAGGAACUCCGAUUGCGCAGGCAGCUUACUAAACUACUACUGACGCUCAUGCACGAAGGCGUGGGGAUCAAACAGGAUUAGAUACU
rnacentral:rRNA from 1 species